GCACCAGCGCUGCUGCUGCUACUGCAGGCCGACGGUGAGACUUCUGCAAAGCCGUGUCAUUUGCAAAUAACAGGUUUUGCAAAGUAUCACAGCCUGUCUGCGGUAUGGCACACCGACGAUGAUGGAU
rnacentral:precursor_RNA from 8 species